rnacentral:lncRNA from 1 species
GGGGUCAACAGUGCGAGACCGACAGCGCCGGACGAAAGGCGUAAAAGGCCUUGCCGGGCGUCGACAUGUAGCCAUAGCCGGUGCCCCAGUAGACGGUGCCAUCCACCACAGCCGGUCCGUUGAGCGUGGCGGCGCCGGUCACGUGCGUCCACAGGAUCUCGCCCGUGGCGGCGUCGAGGGCAAACAUGGUGGGCACCGCCGACGAGCGACUCCCGGUGCCGGCAUAGACGACGCCGUUGGCCACCGUCAGCGAUGACCAUGCGAGCGGCCACUUGGCGACGCCGUCGGCCUCGUCGACCACGGUGAGGCCCUCGGGCACGGGCGUCUGCCAGAGCACCGAGCCGGUGGCCGGAUCGAGGGCGACCCACGAGCCUCCGCGCGUCGUGCGCCCAUCGUGGAGGGUCUCGUUGGCAAAGUGGCUGUUGGACGAGGCCACAUAGAUGCGCGUGCCGUCAAAGGCCGAGCCCCACUGGAGGCCGCCAAUGUCGCCGCCGUGGCCCACGACCGUGACCCACGCCAGGCUGCCAUCGGCCGGGUGGAGCGCGAAAAAGAGCCCGUUCUUUUGGCCGACGCCCACGAGGGGCACCUUGGCGGCGCCCGAUUCAUAGUAGAAGCGCAGCGGGGCCUGGCCAAAGUCGGCGUCUUCGCCGGGAAAGGCCGGGCAGUUGGCGUUGGGCGGGCCGGGGAGGCCCACGCGCUCGGGCUUGCACCCAACGGUCCACACGUCGACGCCGUUCUGCGCCGUAAACGAGAGGUUCCACCGGACGGCGCCCGUGUCCAGGUCCAGCGCGAUGACGGCCUCGGCCAGGUUGUUGGGGUCUGACGGGCACUGUGAGGCAUCACCCUCGUGCGCGUCCACGCAGGCCUGCACGUCUGCGGGCACCUUGUAGUUGUUGCCCGUGGCCACGUAGACGGUGCGCGUGUCGAGGUCGACCGACGGCGACGAGCCCCAGAUGGCGGCGCCAGCAUAGCCCGCCACCGUGGUGUAGGUCUUCCACACAAUGACGCCCGUGCGCGCAUUCAAGGCGACCAGCGACCCGCGAAAGUCGCAGCACGCAUAGUUGGGGAAGCCGGCAAAGGAUUCUUCGAUCGACGACACACCCACGAGAACAAGGCCGUCGACGGCCGUCGGCGACAUGGUGAUCACGGCCGCCGGAUGAAUUUCGACCAGGGUCUUCCACAAGAGUUGGCCGGUGCGCGUUGACACGGCAAACACGUGGCCCGAUGCGGCGUCUCCGAAAAACAGGGCUUCGCCAUGGAGGGCCGGCGUGCCGCGGAUGGUCGUGCCGUUGCUGCGGCCCGUGGCCGGAUUGUAGAUGCCCACGUUGCCGGUAAAGUUGCCCACGUCGGCCUCCCAAAUGGUGGCGCCCGUGUCGCCGUCGACGGCCCACAGGGAACCGCCCAGAUCGGGGAUGUAGACGACGCCACGCUUGUCGACGGCCGGCGGCGAGGCCACAUCGCCGUGCAUGGCCUUGACCCACGCCGGCAUCAGCGAGCCCACGUUGCACGCGGCAAUGUCGCGCUCCUGUGCCGCGUGAUGGUCAUUGUCCAGGCCGCCGCCCCAGUUGGGCCACCACGCCUUUUUCUGCGGGUGGCCGCCAUGGUUGGAGCCGUAGGUGGCCGACGCCGGCAACGUGCCGAUGGUGCAUGCCAUCAAUGCCGUCACGAUCAGGACCAUGGUCGAGAGAUGUGCGCCGUGGCCGCGGCGCGGGCGAUUGUCCCAUUGUACGCGUGCCAUUCGAAUGACGCGUAGAGGGGGUUUUUUUCGUAAGCAAAGACGGAAAGGAGUGUGUGCUCGGUAGUGUCCCUUGGGUGUUGUUGUGGUGGUGUUGGUG